rnacentral:rRNA from 1 species
UGAGGAAUUUUGCGCAAUAGGGGAAACCCUGACGCAGCAACGCCGCGUGAGUGAAGAAGGCCUUCGGGUCGUAAAGCUCUGUCAAGUGGGAAAAAAUUCAGACGGUGAAUAGCCGGCUGAAGUGAUGGUACCACUAGAGGAAGCACCGGCUAACUCCGUGCCAGCAGCCGCGGUAAUACGGAGGGUGCAAGCGUUGUUCGGAAUUACUGGGCGUAAAGCGCGUGUAGGCGGUUUGGUAAGUCAGAUGUGAAAGCCCUGGGCUCAACCCAGGAAGUGCAUUUGAUACUGCCUUACUCGAGUAUGGGAGAGGAGAGUGGAAUUCCCAGUGUAGAGGUGAAAUUCGUAGAUAUUGGGAGGAACACCCGUGGCGAAGGCGACUCUCUGGACCAAUACUGACGCUGAGACGCGAAAGCGUGGGGAGCAAACAGG